AUUGAACGCUGGCGGCAGGCCUAACACAUGCAAGUCGAGCGGAUGAAGGGAGCUUGCUCCUGGAUUCAGCGGCGGACGGGUGAGUAAUGCCUAGGAAUCUGCCUGGUCGUGGGGGAUAACGUCCGGAAACGGGCGCUAAUACCGCAUACGUCCUGAGGGAGAAAGUGGGGGAUCUUCGGACCUCACUCUAUCAGAUGAGCCUAGGUCGGAUUAGCUAGUUGGUGGGGUAAAGGCCUACCAAGGCGACGAUCCGUAACUGGUCUGAGAGGAUGAUCAGUCACACUGGAACUGAGACACGGUCCAGACUCCUACGGGAGGCAGCAGUGGGGAAUAUUGGACAAUGGGCGAAAGACUGAUCCAGCCAUGCCGCGUGUGUGAAGAAGGUCUUCGGAUUGUAAAGCACUUUAAGUUGGGAGGAAGGGCAGUAAGUUAAUACCUUGCUGUUUUGACGUUACCAACAGAAUAAGCACCGGCUAACUUCGUG
rnacentral:rRNA from 1 species